ensembl:lincRNA
AAGUUGAUCCUAAACCUUUACCAGUGAGAACAUUGCCAUAAGGGCAGGGGAAGUCUUCAGAAAGUGGCACCUAGCAUCUAAAAGUGUCCAUAGGCCUGUGAAAAAUAGUACUGCCCCCAGAGAUUAGCACAGAACAGUUAGGUUAUGGAGUUAGACAAGAAGAAUGAAUAAAUGAAGUUGGGACUGGCAUGACUAGCUAUCGCCUGCUGGAAAUGAGGUCUCAUUGUGUUUGGAUCUGAGAAAGCAGUGCCCACAGCCACGGCUACCACUUCUAAGACAAGAGCCAGAAAAGCAUGGAAAAAGACGUAUGGGCAUAUUAACAUAAAUUUGUAGCUACAUAUGAAGCAGAGACACCCAGCAUACAUGCUUUUGAUAAUGAAACAGUAGCUCCCAUCUUCAUAGGUCACAGUGCAGACAUAGCUUCGUGCAUGCACACAGCACUCAAGCCAUCCGUUAAGAUUUGGCACGACUUUCAUACAGUAAACAACAACAAGUGAUUCUUAAAAUUCAUCAAGAAAGAGUUUCCUAAAUGCGAAAUAAUUAUGGAAUCCCUCUAUGGUGUCAGUAAUUAGUUUUGGGUCACCCAGUGUCUGGUGUACUGUAGGGACCCAGUACAUUUUCAGGGAAGGCAUGUAAGCAUUUAGAAGAUAGGCAAAACAUGUUUUCUCAAGCUGUUGGGACCAUUGCCAAUUAUUUUACAAUGAAAGCACACUGAACAUGUGUUAGGUCACAGUAGGUGAGGGGACAGAACAAAAAAUUAUUGGAAUGGAAGACUGCAAAGGGAGACAUUUUGUUGGUUUUUAUUGUUGUUCAAGGUUUUAUCUAUAUAGUUCUUAAUAUUUUUAUAAAGGUUCAAAAUAAGUUAAAGAUUUAAUUUUGCUAAGGCGUUUAGGCAAACACAAGGAGAGGGAAGACACACAGCUCCCUUAGCUUUUAGUCUUGUGUUCGAAGCACUCCUUUGGGACACAGUACCAAACACAAAAGCUUAGAAACACACUCAACUGAAAACUGUCCUUUUGUUCUAAAUAUUUGGCAUCUGAGAAGUCAUCUAUUAAGAAACCAGACUUCGAAAUCAUAUUCAUACUGUGUCUGAUGAAAAAAAGCAAAGAGCGGCAUGAGACUGUUUCCAAAACUCUGUUCUGAGAGAGAGAGAGAGAGAGAGAGAGAGAGCGCAAAUAAAUGUAACCAAACAUAAACUCAUUAACCAGGUUAGACAUGAAAACAUUUAGGGUAAAAUAUUUUGGAAAAGGAGAAGAAAUGGCCAGUUAGGAGGAGGAGAUUCCUGGCUCCAAGAGUCAGAAGAAAUACUGCUGACUUGAACUAGAAGGCAGGAGAAGACGACUGCUGGCCUAGAGCCCCCUAGAAGGAAGAAGCAGCAAGCGGCCUGCAAAGGUGCAUGACUUGUAGUGGAGAAACACCAGCUUUAAAACUCUGCAGACACAUGUUCAAGUGAACCAGAGACAUGGAAAUUCAGGAUGAAAAAACUCCACAAGUUCUCAGACUUUUCAAAUGUCCGGAGCUCCCAGACUGUGUCUUUCUAGCUGCCAUUCCUCUUUCCUGACUCUUAACUCUGAGCCCAGUGAGAAAAACUGGAAACCGGAAUCAAAAGAGCUUGGCUGAACAAGGUGAAGGUCAGGGUUCUGCAAACGGAAUCUCUGCAGAUACCAAGAAGCUCUAACCUGAUCUUCAGCGGGGACAAAGCCCAAAAGAUUAAAAUGCCCCGAUGGCAAUGGCACUCACUGGUCCAGAGACAAGGAGGAAGACAGUGAAGAGCAAAGGAGCGAGCUUGAAAAUGCAAACUACAGGCUACAUGUAAGGUUGCCUCUGGGAUUCGUUCCUGGACAGUUGCCAAGCUGCAACAUUUUAGCAUUAGGAACAGGGAGAAAUGUUCCUUUGAGCGGAUGUAUCAUUUCUUUAUGCUACUUUGGUGUGAUUAGAAGAGAAAGAUCUAAUCGCACAAAAAGUAUAUAGAUAGAUAGGAAUGAACAUUCUCCAACUGUACAGCUCCUAGCCAGAGACAACAAAGUGUUGCUCUUUACCGAGAAUACAAAUACUAAUAUGGAGGCAGAAAAGAAAAACACAUUUCAAAAGCGUGUCUCAGGCAAGAACGAAGUUCCAGGACAGACACACUUAACUACACAGCCCAAGCCGUAGAGUCUGGUAACUCCAUUCUAUCGAAAACGGACCCACAUGGAUCUAAUACUUUAGUCUCAAGGGAGUCAUUACCUAAAUGGCUUGGAAGACAGCUUUUCAUAGUUUAAAGUUUGAAUCGGAUUAACUCUACGUCUGGCAUCUAGGCAGUUUUUAGUUUGAGAGUCAUCUUUGACUUUUAUAGCACCUAUUUCUUUGAAAUAAUUAUAGGAUUACCUUGCACUGCACAUAUGGGACAACACAAGGCAGUGCAGACUAGUCGAAUCCACUAUCUGAAACGAAGGUUUUAAGGUACUCAAGGCUGAAGACUUCGUGAACCGAGACUAAAAGGCACACACAGAACAACUCAAGCGCUUAAUACUGCACCCAUUUACUUUAAAACACCCAUAGAGACUCCCCCAGGGGGUCAUUUUACCUGAGUUACCCAAUCCACAGCAAGAUAGGAAAAGGCUUCGUGGAGAUCCAAGUCUUGUUCCAAAUUUAAACCAAGAACCCCAAGGGAGUGAAAGACGACUUCGGGGGACCACUCCUCCUGCAGGGUGUGGAGGCGGGCUACCCUUCCAGAGAGAGAUAUGCAGGGUCUCCCAGAACAUAAGCGACUAGAAACACUCGGGGAGUCCCAGUGUCAGGCCCUAUGCCCAAGUUCUGCGACCCGCGUGGCCGUUGCGGGAUCUGCACGCCUCGAGUGAGAGUCAGCCAGCCGCACAGGGAACGACAAGAGGAGGGAGGGUAGCAACCUCAGGUGCAGGCCGGAGACCCAGGGUCCGGAGCUGCAGUCCCCGUCCCCAGGGCCCCCGACGCUCCGCUCAGCAGUCGCUGGAGCGCGGCCUCCGGGCAGCUGCACGCAGCUGGACGCGGUCUGGACGCCCGCGCCCCACCGCUCGCUUCCCUUCGGGGGGGGGGGGGGCGCACUCUCCGCAACUUACUGGGGCAGUGCCCUGGCCGCGCGACAGGGACGGGAACAGGCACGGGCGAGCGAGCGGCUGCAGCGUUCUGCGGAUCCCAAGCUCGCGAAGGCUGGACGAGCAGCAGCAGCCUUUCCAGGUCCAGGCAGACAGAAGCUCCCGCCGCCGAGCUUGCAGAAGG